rnacentral:rRNA from 1 species
UACAGAGGUCUCAAGCGUUGUUCGGAUUCAUUGGGCGUAAAGGGUGCGUAGGCGGUCGGGUAAGUCUGACGUGAAAUCUCCAAGCUCAACUUGGAAAUGGCGUCGGAUACUAUUCGGCUUGAGGAGUGGAGGGGAGACUGGAAUUCUCGGUGUAGCAGUGAAAUGCGUAGAUAUCGAGAGGAACACCAGUGGCGAAGGCGAGUCUCUGGACACUUCCUGACGCUGAGGCACGAAAGCCAGGGGAGCAAACGGG